AGCAAGACACUGUCCACAUCAGAAGA
rnacentral:piRNA from 1 species